UACAGGGGGUGCAAACGUUGCUCGGAAUCAUUGGGCGUAAAGCGCGCGCAGGCGGUCCUUUAAGUCUGAUGUGAAAGCCCACGGCUCAACCGUGGAGGGUCAUUGGAAACUGGGGGACUUGAGUACAGAAGAGAAGAGUGGAAUUCCACGUGUAGCGGUGAAAUGCGUAGAGAUGUGGAGGAACACCAGUGGCGAAGGCGGCUUUCUGGUCUGUAACUGACGCUGAGGCGCGAAAGCGUGGGGAGCGAACAGG
rnacentral:rRNA from 1 species